ACGGGUGAGUAACACGUGGGUAAUCUGCCUAGGAGUCCGGAAUAACCUUCCGAAAGGAGGGCUAAUGCUGGAUAAGACCACGGGGACUUCGGUCCCUGAGGUAAAAAGGUGGCCUCUGUAUACAAGCUACCACUUCUAGAGGAGCCCGCGGCCCAUCAGCUUGUUGGCGGGGUAAUGGCCCACCAAGGCUACGACGGGUAGCUGGUCUGAGAGGACGAUCAGCCACACUGGAACUGAGACACGGUCCAGACUCCUACGGGAGGCAGCAGUGGGGAAUUUUGCGCAAUGGGCGAAAGCCUGACGCAGCAACGCCGCGUGAGUGAUGAAGGUCUUCGGAUCGUAAAGCUCUUUCGGCCGGGACGAAAACGGGUUGGCCAAUAUCCAACUCCUUGACGGUACCGGAAGAAGAAGCACCGGCUAACUCUGUGCCAGCAGCCGCGGUAAUACAGAGGGUGCGAGCGUUGUUCGGAAUUAUUGGGCGUAAAGCGCGUGUAGGCGGCGCUGCAUGUCGGGUGUGAAAGCCCUCGGCUUAACCGGGGAAGUGCGCCCGAAACUGCAGUGCUCGAGUGCCGGAGAGGGUAGCG
rnacentral:rRNA from 1 species